UAAUGUCUGGGAAACUGCCUGAUGGAGGGGGAUAACUACUGGAAACGGUAGCUAUACCGCAUAAUGUCGCAAGACCAAAGUGGGGGACCUUCGGGCCUCAUGCCAUCAGAUGUGCCCAGAUGGGAUUAGCUAGUAGGUGGGGUAACGGCUCACCUAGGCGACGAUCCCUAGCUGGUCUGAGAGGAUGACCAGCCACACUGGAACUGAGACACGGUCCAG
rnacentral:rRNA from 1 species